rnacentral:lncRNA from 1 species
UAAAGGAAAUAUAUUAUUUUACAGAAUUUUUUUGAAUUUUUCUGAUGCCAUUUGAUAUUUUAAAUGAUUUAAAUGGAAUUUCGGAUGAAUUAAAAAUCCUGAAAAGUAUUUAUUAAUUCUUUUCUUCUAUUCUUUUUCUUUUUCCUCCGGAAAUACGCUUUCUCUGCAGGAAAACGUAUUCUUAGAGAAAUGCGCUUUCUAUCUCUCUCUCUCUCUCUCUGACAGGUGGGGCCCGCCUGUCAUCCCCCACCUCCGGCCACCACGUCCACGAUCUCCGCCGUCUCCAGCCGCCGCCGGUGCCGCGCCGCCG